CUCUUUUACAGAUAAUCAUUUGAGUUCAUGAGAUCACUCAGAUAUUUGUGAUUAAUUUUUGGGUCAGAGUUGUUGAGUCCGUCGUGAAAUGGUGACAUUUCUCCCCAACAAGAUUGGCAAAGAUGAGAAAAGAUACAUCGCCACAAUGUCGGAAGUGCAAGAAAAUGUUAAGUACUUAUUAUCACAUGUGGUGGACCUGUUCCAAAGCCAAAUAAUUGUGGCGGCUAAUAAAGACCUGGCUGAAGGAGGAAGAGGAGAAGAACAGGACACUCGGCUUCUCUUUGAUCUAAGAAUAAAGCUGUUUCUUUUGCAGUAGCCUCA